AAUACUGAUGAACAGACCAAUCUGUUCCACAAACAGAGACGGAAGACUUGAAACCAAAUGCCUACUUGAGUGAAUACUUCAGAGAUCUUCAUUUAGAGAAUAAUCAGCAAAAACAGGAACUCAGCAAUAUUGAAAAAUAAAAUGUCGUCUUCUAUGUAAUCUCGCUAUGCCUGAGAUUAAAAAACAAACCAAAAAUCUUCAUCUACUGGUGUUUCAAUAGCUUGUUUCCUUAUGGAAUAUAACUCAAGCGACAGUAACCAGAGAGGUGACCCACUAGGAAUAGACUACUUAUUGUAGUAAAUAUUGGAAACACUGAGUCAGUUCAAGACCUACUUUUACUGCUCAAAUGAAUGAAAUUAUUCUGCAAAGAGAUUCAUGGACAUGCUAAGUGUUCUUCCUUCUCAUAAAAACCUUUCUUGUUGCAACUGUAGAGUUGGCUGGGUUGGAGAAUACUGAUGUGAUUAUACUGAAGUAUAUUCUCAUCUAAUUUAGAAUAUUACAGAAAAAUACAAAAAAUGACUAGAGUAGAUCAAAGGACAGUAAUGUGAAGUCAUUAGGUGUUCAAAAGAAAAAUCUUUUAAGGAUGGGUCCAAGCCCUAAUGAAUGGUUCCUUUGGAUCUGCUGAAGCAUCACUAAAGUGAUUGCUUUUUGUAACAAAA